UCCACCACGCCUCCCACCUGCCCCACUGCUUCUUCUCCUCUCCCUUAGGAACUCUAGCUUCACCUCGCUUCGUAAUGGACCCCAAUUGCUCCUGCUCCACUAGCUGCUGCUCCUGCUGCCCCGUGGGCUGUGCCAAGUGUGCCCAGGGAUGUGUUUGCAAAGGGACACUGACAAGUGCAGCUGCUGCUCCUGAUGUAGGGAAAGCUGUGUUCCCAGAAGUAGAAAGUGUACAAACCUGGAAUUGUUUUCCAUACAACCCUGACCCAUUAGUACAUUUGGGUUUCUAAAAAUAAAAUAUGUUAAUGAUAAUAAAAGUUGACUUUAUUCU
rnacentral:lncRNA from 1 species